UUUCCUCCGGCCUCCGGGUCCUCCUCCACCCAAAAAGGUUUCCUCUGGCCUCCGGGUCCUCAUCCACCCAAAAAGGUGUGCCUUUGGCCUUCGGGUCCUCCUCCACCCAAAAAGGGUUCCUCCGCCUUCCAGGUCCUCCUCCACCCAAAAAGGGGUUCCUCCGCCUUCCGGGUCCUCCUCCACCCAAAAAGGGGUUCCUCUGGCCUCCGGGUCCUCAUCCACCCAAAAAGGGGUGCCUCUGCCCUCCGCGUCCUCCUCCACCCAAAAAGGGUUGCUCUGGCCUCAGGGCUCACCUCCUAGCCUAGAAAGUUCCUCCGGCCUCCGGGUCCUCCUCCACCCAAAAAGGUUUCCUCUGGCGUCCGGGUCCUCAUCCCCCCAUAAAGGGGUGCCUUUGGCCUUCGGGUCCUCCUCCACCCAAAAAGGGUUCCUCCGGCUUCCAGGUCCUCAUCCACCCAAAAAGGGUUGCUCCGGCCUCCGGGUCCUCCUCCACCCAAAAAGGGGUUCCUUCGGCCUCCGGGUCCUCAUCCACCCAAAAAGGGGUGCCUCCGCCCUCCGGGUCCUCCUCCACCCAAAAAGGGGUGCCUUUGGCCUCCGGGUCCUCCUUCACCAAAAAAAGGGUUUCCUCCGGCCUCCGGGUCCUCUCCUACCUUACAGAAAGUUCCUCCGGCUUCCAAGUCCCCCUCCCUCCUACACUGUGUUCCUCCGGCCUCCGGGUCGUCCUCUACCCUAAAAAGGGUUCCUCUGGCUUCCAGGUCCCCCUCCAUCCUAAAAGGUUUCCUUCGGCCCCCGGGCUCUCCUCCACCCUAUAAAUUGGUUCCUUUGGCCUCCGGUUCCUUUUAUUUGACUCUGCUAAUGGUAGUACUGUUAACAAGCAUUCAUGCGGGAAAUGGGCCCGUCAUUUCACUCUGCAUAUGGCAAUGUUUUUAGUGUUUAGCUGUGAAUUAGAAUUAACAACCUGACUGAUCUUUACUUUGACCCACAAUCAGAGGACCUCACUGGCUGGUCUUGUGUUGGUGUCCAGGUUGAUGGUUCAUGUGACCUGUUGGUCCACUCCCACUCUUCAGAGGGUUUCGUGGCCUGUUGGUCCACUACCUCUCUUUAGAGGUUUCCUUGACCUGUUUGUCCACCUGUGCCCCUCAGGGGGUUCCUUGACCUGUGAGUUUACCUCCACCCUACAGCGCGUUCUUUUGCUAGGAGGGUUCACCUCCAUCCUUCAGGGGGUUCCCCUGGCCUUUUGCUACACUUCUAUCCUGCAGCAGGUAGGUCACCAUCACCAGGGGAGUCAAGUUUAUUCAGUUCAUACAUGCUGCAUGGUUCAUCACUUACAACAACCACAAUAAAUAACAAGAAAACGAAAAAGCAAAACCGCAAAAUAGAAAAUUCCUCAAUCAAUUUAAACUAAAUUCAAAUGAAAUACUCAAAAAAUCUGUUCUUAAUGAAAAAACAAAGACAAACUUUUCAAGGUUCAAAGAGUGUGUUCAAUAUCAAUGAAAAAAGCUGUAUUUCAUAUAACCAAAAAACCAGUACAAAACAUAAAAUGUGUUAAACACAAUUAUAGAAAGAAUCAAAGGAUAACAAUGUUCUUCCAAAAGAAACCAACAACUGAACAACAAAAUUCAAAGUGCUGACAUCAGUCAUGUGGGUAAAAUACUUUAAGGAAACAAUGAAACAACAGCAAAACAAUAUUCUCAAAGUGCCUUCAAGGAAGUAUGGACCAACUAUGGAACAACGAAAAACAAAACAAUAUUCUCAAAGAGCUUUCAAGGAAAUAUGGACCAACAAUGGAACAACAAAAUUCACAUUGCUCUAAGGACAAUAUCACAUCAUUGGCACGUUUUUCAAGGAAACUAUAGAACAGCAACGACAACAUUCACAAGGUGCUCUGGAAGGAACUACAGCCUAACACUGAGGAAGAAUUGUGACAACCAACAAAGCAUCAGACCUUGUUUUGAUCGCUCCUACACAGCCACCCAGCAAUCUGAAGAUAACGAAAUGAUGAUGAAGACUACGAUAAGACCCAGAAGCCAUUGCAUAUACUGAUAACUUGUCUUGUUUAUGUGUGUACUGUAAUGGUUGUGUUUGCAGUCCUUUGUGUAUUUGUAUCUCUCUCUCUCUGUUGGUCUUAAGAAGUUGCCAAAAUGCCCAGUGCUGCAGAAUUGGGCAUUUUGGCAAAAAUUUCAGGGACGCGCUCCUGCUGUUUUAAAUCAUGGCAUCUACAAGGAGAUGGUCUUUGGUUCCUCCAUCCACAUGAGAAGUUGAGCCAGGCAUCCUCAUGCUGGGGACCAUAGCGGAAGUGUUCAUCCUAUAAGAAGACCUUGAUGCCCUCCAUCUCCGAUGGGAUGCUGAGCCAGAAUUCAGAUUGAGUUGUCAACUAACCACCGGAUACCUGAAGCCAUUGGAGGCCAGAGCUGCUCUGACGUAGAUCCGACAGCAACAAGUGCUUGCAGGUCCUGCCAGUAUCAGCCCUGACUCCUGAAGGACUGUGCAAACUGCAAGAGGCUUCUGGUCAUCUUCAACCUGAGCCUGAGUCUGGAGAGGAUCCUGAAUUUGUAGAAGAUUUCCUGCAUGGUUCCAGUCCUGAAGACGUUGCACCUCAGGGAGGUGAACCACUUCAGACCCUCGCCUUUCAUCUGAUGAAGUCCAUGGAGGAGAUCAACCUUGGCACACCUGUCCCCUGGUGAGCUUGAGCCUGGACCCCCUGCAGCUUACCUACCAGCCAGACAUCAGGGUAGACAACGCCGUCGUCUACCUGCUGCACAGGUCCCUGGUUCACCUGGAGAACCCCAGCAGUCCUGUGAGGGUCAUGUUCUUUGACUGCUCCAGUGGAGUACAGGCAGAGACUGGACAUUAAGAGGGUGGAGAUGUACAGAUACCUGGGUGCUGGACUGGUCACACCUGCACCUGCUGAGGAGACAGAGGUCCUUCGGAGCGUGCUGGACUCUUGUUACGGACAAUUUACGAUAGUGUGAUGGUGUCUGCUCUCCUUUAUGCAGUGGUUGGCUGUGGAGGAGGGAGCACAGAAAAAGUCUAAACUCGUCAGGAGGGGCAGGUGUGUCCUGGACUGUUCCCUGGACUCUAAGGAGGAUGUUGGCCAAGCUGGCAUCCAUCAUGGACAACCCCUCUCACCCUCUGCAUAACACUGUUAGGGCCUGAGCAGCCCCUUCAGCCCAAGACUGUUACACCGUCCCUUUAAAGGGUACGAGAUCAUUCAAGCCAGGGACAGGCAACUUUGGUUACCAACAGGGCCGCAUAAAUUCUGUUUUUUUCCUUCCUGAGGGCAAUGUUGUUUUAAAUUGUCAGAUAGGACUGUUGUAACAACUUAUUACCAGGGUUUUUGAGAUUAAUUGCAAGUAAUUACUGCAUUAUUAUUUUAAUCCAGAGUAAUCUCAGAACUGUCUCUUUCAUUACACUUUGGCUCAGCCGCUUCGUCUACCUACAGCCACAGUUAUGAAAAAUACGUGGAUCACUGAUCCUCUUUUUUUUUUUUUUUACUUCCCUUUUAAAAACUCAGACAGCUCAGUCAUCUGCACCUUACAUUAUCAAAUGUUUACUUUACCUUCACCUGGAAUUUAAAUUGUAAUUAAUGUGAUUAAACAUGAUGUGAUUAAUUGCAGUUAACUGCAGGGAUUAUGAGAUUAAUCCCAAAUAAAAAUGUUGAUCAUUUGACAGCCCUACUUACAAAUAUUUCAUCAAAUUUACUGAACCAGCAUUUAUGUUUUAAAAGCUCAAAUGCAAACAGAAAAUCUUAUUGAGUUAACAAAAUAAAACAGGAUUUCAGCUUCUUCUUAAAUGGCAUGAUCAGUUUUUGCUACAGUAUCUUUUACCUGCCUUGCAGGUUACAAAUAACUAAAGGAUGGCUUUCUUUAAAGUGACUGCUAUGUCUAUAAAAACUAAUAAAGCAAACUGCCCAUCCAAAGUCCAAAAGUACAAAUAAGGCUUAAUGUAAACAAAUCAAACUUCCAGCCCAAGUGACUGAACAAUAGAUUAGAAUUUCUUUAAAUUGCAGUGCAGGAACAUGAACAUGUCAUGUUCUGGUGUGAGGCUGGCUCUUUUCUUUGAGUAAUGAACUGCAAGUACAGAUGAGUUUUUACCGGCCAGUAUUUGAUUUUACCAAUAUCAAAACAAUAAUACGAAACAAUUGAAUUUCCGUGUCGACUAAUUUUUAGAGUCGACAUAAACGAUUAUGGCGACUAAUCUUUGCAGCCCUAGAUUUAUCCACCCUUUUCAUCCUGAUUUCUCCACUCUAGAUUUUAAGUUGAUUAGGGACCUGGGUUCUGAGCAGGUUCGGGUGACGGCCGUCAGGUCCAUCAACGACUGUGAGGUUCCCUGGGUUUGUAAAGUUAAAAUGUUUCUUUUAUGAUUCUAGAAGAAUCAAAAGGGUGGAGUGGUAUAAGGUACACAUUGUUUGUGACAUUAUUUCUGAUUAGUCUGCAUGACUUUGCAAUUUGUAAUUAGCUGUAUAAUUCAGGAAGUUCUCAUGUAAUGAACAAAGGGUAACUCAAACCUGAUGAGAUCAUGUAUCAUGUCAUAUCUUUUAUUGCCUGUAACUCUGGACAGAGUACCCUGCUAUGUGUAAAACUUGCCUUUUUUGUCACACUGUAUAUAAACUCAUGCCCCCCUGCAACAAAUCAGAGAGAAUCAUUGAAACAGGCACUUGUUUGCCGGUUCUCUUUCUCUUCCCUCUGAAUCAGAGCUGUUGGCAGGGCCAACACUCGCAUGUGGGACCCCACAUGGGCAGGCCCCAUACUCGAUAGUUAUCUAGCUAGAUUAAAGUAUUGCAAAAAAUACAGUCUGUUCCCUUCAUAAAUGUCCUACAAAGAACAAAACAUGCACUAUUUUUCUAAACUGUGCAUGGUGUUGUGCAGGUGGAUUUACUUCUUGGCUGAUGAUCUCAUGUUUUCUUAAUGUUUGUUGACACUAGAAACUACAAGUUCUCUUCUGUUUUAACUCAUGUACAGUAUAUUUAAGAGCUUACAUAAAUGUGAUUAUGGCUUUAUGUCUGUACAAAUAUGUAGCUUAUGUGAACACUAUCCAACAGAUGUUAGAGCCAGCUAUCCAAAAGUCUUUGCUCCUCAACAUGUUAAAUUAUUGAUACUAUUAGGAUGUGUAAUGUUACCUGGAUAUUUUUUCCCUCAUUCAAACCAGUACCAUUCAGUUUUCUUCAAAUCUGGUCUUGACCAGACUAUUCUAUCACUUUUUUCAUAUGGUAUUGAAGUAUUGUUGGCACAUUUUCCCCUUUGGUUUUUUUGUGUUGAUUUCUUUAUUAAAGAAUGCAAGUGUUACAAACAUUCCUAGUUUAUAUUUUGUUUUUGUUAAAUAUUUGCUGGUUAUCUUUCCCUCUACUUUGAGCUGUUGUCCUAAUCAAAUUUACCCCAGUGGAGGAUUAAUAAAGGUUUAUCUUAUCUUUAAUAAUGUGAUGAAAUGUCAUUAUUUUUA